rnacentral:misc_RNA from 1 species
GAUGAAGAACGCAGCGAAAUGCGAUAAGUAAUGUGAAUUGCGGAAUUCAGUGAAUCAUCGAAUCUUUGAACGCACCUUGCACCCUUUGGUAUUCCGAAGGGUAUGCUCGUUUGAGUGUCAUUGUACUCUCACACUUCUAAUUCCUUUCGGGAUUGGGAGCGGUGGACUUGGGUGUUGCUGCUUUAGUUGUGGCUCACCUCAAAUAAGUUAGUGCAACUCUUGGUUGGACAUAGUACGGCGUGAUAAGUGUCUUCGCCGGCGCCUCUGUAAGGAGGGUGGCCGAUCGGGAGCUCUGUGCUUCAAACCGUCUUCGGACAAUCUUUGACAACUUGACCUCAAAUCGAGUAGGACUACCCGCUGAACUUAAGCAUAUCAAUAAGCGGAGGA